rnacentral:tRNA from 1 species
GCCGCCUUAGCUCAGUGGCCAGAGCUGCCGCCUUGUAAGCGGCCGGUCGUCGGUUCGACUCCGACAGGUGGCU